rnacentral:rRNA from 1 species
UACGUAGGGGGCGAGCGUUGUCCGGAUUUAUUGGGCGUAAAGAGCUCGUAGGCGGCUUGUUGCGUCGGCUGUGAAAACCCGCGGCUUAACCGUGGGCUUGCAGCCGAUACGGGCAGGCUAGAGUUCGGUAGGGGAGACUGGAAUUCCUGGUGUAGCGGUGAAAUGCGCAGAUAUCAGGAGGAACACCAGUGCGAAGGCGGCUCUGG